CGUAGGUGGCAAGCGUUAUCCGGAAUUACUGGGCGUAAAGCGCACGCAGGCGGUCUUUUAAGUUUGACGUGAAAGCUCCCGGCUUAACUGGGAGAGGUCGUUGAAUACUGGAAGACUUGAGGCAAUGAGAGGGGUGUAGAAUUCCCGGUGUAGUGGUGGAAUGCGUAGAUAUCGGGGGGAAUACCAGUGGCGAAAGCGGCACCCUAGCGUUAGCCUGACGCUCAUGUGCGAAAGCGUGGGGAGCGAACGGGAUUAGACUACCCCGGUAGUCCACGCUGUAAACGAUGAACACUAGGUGUAGGUGAUGUGAAAGUUAUCUGUACCGAAGCCAACGCGUUAAGUGUUCCGCCUGGGGGAGUACGGCCGCAAGGCUA
rnacentral:rRNA from 1 species